rnacentral:tRNA from 1 species
GCCGGAAUAGCUCAGUUGGGAGAGCGUCAGACUGAAGAUCUGAAGGUCCCUGGUUCAAUCCCGGUUCCGGCA